AAGAAACCUUCAGAAUGUAGUGAAUUUGGGAAGUGUUUUACUCAGAGAUCAUCUCUUACCCAGCAUCAGAGGAUUCACACAGGAGAGAAGCUCUAUGUAUGUACUGAAUGUGGAACUUGUUUCCGUAAACAGUCAAAUCUUACUCAACAUCUUAAGAUUCAUACAGGAGAGAAACCUUAUAAACGUAAUGAAUGUGAGAAAGCUUUUCAAACAAAAGCAGUGCUCAUCCAGCAUCUGAGAAUUCAUACUGGGGAACCAUAUAAAUGCAGUGAAUGUGGCAAAGCCUUUUAUCAGAGUCCAUCCCUUAUUAAACACCUGCGAGUUUACACUGGAGAGAAACCCUAUAAAUGUGAUGAGUGUGGCAAAGCCUUCAGUCAGAGUAUAUGCCUUACUCGUCAUCAGAGAAGUCAUUCUGGAGAUAGACCUUAUAAGUGUAAUGACUGUGGGAAAGCCUUUAAUCAGAGAGCAUGCCUCAUGCAGCAUUGGAGGAUCCACUCAGGAGAGAAGCCCUAUACAUGUACCAAAUGUGGUAAAGCUUUCACUCAGAACUCUUCCCUUGUUGAACAUGAGAGGACUCACACUGGAGAGAAACUUUAUAAGUGUAGUGAGUGUGAAAAAAACUUCUGCAAGCAAGCACACCUUAGUGAACAUUACAGAAUUCACAGUGGAGAGAAACCUUAUGAGUGUGCUGACUGUGGGAAAUCCUUCAGGCACAGCUCAGCACUUGCGCGACAUCAGAGGCUUCAUGCUGGAGAA
rnacentral:lncRNA from 1 species